UUGGGGAAGCUUAUAAGCUCCUUAGCUUAUAAGAUGAGGAGAAUACCCGUUUGGUAAAAGCAUAAAGAACUUACUUAUCUUAAAAGCCUAAGUCAUUUAUGAGGAAUAAGCAAAAGUGAGUGACUCCUUCCUUAUGAUUAUAAGUCACCGCGUUUUCGUUUCGGGAAUUAAGUGAACUUCAAAAAUGACAUUGGGUACCCUUGACUAUAGCUGAAAAUUACUAACUUACCAAUAUAAAAGCUCAGAUGAACAGAAAACUUACCUGCAGAGCGCCUCCAUUUCUCUUUUAUUUCGUGGUAGUCUCCUGGUGUGCCUCCAUUUUUCAGUUCUCCUUUCCAUCUUUGAGGUUUGCAGCUGCUCAAGAGAUGGGAUCAGCCGUAUGGAAUCCGGUAUUAGUAGACCUACUUUGUGACUUAGUUAUCAAGGAGGUGGAGGCUAAUAAUCAACCAAAUAGUCAUUUGAGCAAAGAAGUGAAGAUUGUUAUUGCAACCAUGACUCUUCAUAAUUAUAUAAAAAGACAUGCAAAUCGUGAUGCCCAUUUUGUUCGUUGGGCAGAAAUGGUGGUUGACAUACCAAAUGAUGAGGUAGAGAUGGAUAAUGAUGGAGGGGAAAAUGAGCAUGGUCAUGAUGCACGGGAAAUUGAAACAAUAAGAAAUGAAAUCACUCAAAGUUUGAUGAGUGCGCGUAUAAUAUGCAAUUAUUUGAUGCAAAUGAAAUAUAUAUAUAUAUUGUUAUUUGGUUUUGUAAUUUAGUUGAAUGUGUUAAGAUAUUUUUAAUAUUAUUUGUGUCAAUGACAAAUGUGUUUUGUUA